UACAGAGGUCCCAAGCGUUGUUCGGAUUCACUGGGCGUAAAGGGUGCGUAGGCGGUUGGGUAAGUCUGAUGUGAAAUCUCACAGCUUAACUGUGAAACUGCAUUGGAUACUAUCCAACUCGAGGAAUGGAGGGGAGACUGGAAUACUUGGUGUAGCAGUGAAAUGCGUAGAUAUCAAGUGGAACACCAGUGGCGAAGGCGAGUCUCUGGACCGAUACUGACGCUGAGGAGCGAAAGCGUGGGGAGCGAACAGG
rnacentral:rRNA from 1 species